UAUUGCACAAUGGGGGAAACCCUGAUGCAGCAAUGCCGCGUGAGUGAAGAAGUAUUUCGGUAUGUAAAGCUCUAUCAGCAGGGAAGAAAAAAGACGGUACCUGACUAAGAAGCCCCGGCUAACUACGUGCCAGCAGCCGCGGUAAUACGUAGGGGGCAAGCGUUAUCCGGAUUUACUGGGUGUAAAGGGGGCGCAGGCGGUAUGGCAAGUCAGAUGUGAAAACUCGAGGCUCAACCAUGGGACUGCAUUUGAAACUGUCAGACUGGAGUGCCGGAGAGGCAAGUGGAAUUCCUAGUGUAGCGGUGAAAUGCGUAGAUAUUAGGAGGAACACCAGUGGCGAAGGCGGCUUGCUGGACGGUAACUGACGCUGAGGCCCGAAAGCGUGGGGAGCAAACAG
rnacentral:rRNA from 1 species